rnacentral:rRNA from 1 species
CGUGUGGUUCUAUUUUGUUGGUUUCUAGGACCGCCGUAAUGAUUAAUAGGGACAGUCGAGGGCAUCAGUAUUCAAUUGAAAUUCUUGGAUUUAUUGAAGACUAACUACUGUGAAAGCAUUUGCUAAGGAUGUUUUCAUUAAUCAGGAACGAAAGUUAGGGGAUCGAAGACGAUCAGAUACCGUCGUAGUCUUAACUAUAAACUAUGCCGAUUAGGGAUCGGACGAUGUUAUUUUUUGACUCGUUCGGCACCUUACGAUAAAUCAAAAUGUUUGGGCUCCUGGGGGACUAUGGUCGCAAGGCUGAAACUUAAAGAAAUUGACGGAAGGGCACCACUAGGGGUGGAGCCUGCGGCUUAAUUUGACUCAACACGGGGAAACUCACCAGGUCCA